rfam:Halobacillus halophilus DSM 2266 complete genome
AUAAAUGAAUACGUUAUACCGUAGACAGCAGGUGCGGAUGCAACUCCGCUUAAUUUCCUGCCGAGGUGUGUGAAUAAGCAGGACAGCGCUAAAAACGCCCUGUUCUCUCAUACGUACCUCCAUGUCUGCAUGGAGGUACUUUUUUGUGAAACCU